UACGGAGGGGACUAGCGUUGUUCGGAAUUACUGGGCGUAAAGCGCACGUAGGCGGAUUUGUAAGUCAGGGGUGAAAUCCCGGGGCUCAACCCAGGAACUGCGUCCGAUACUGGUUGGCUUGAAUCCGGGAGAGGGAUGUGGAAUUCCAGGUGUAGCGGUGAAAUGCGUAGAUAUCUGGAGGAACACCGGUGGCGAAGGCGACAUCCUGGACCGGUAUUGACGCUGAGGCGCGAAAGCCAGGGGAGCAAACGGG
rnacentral:rRNA from 1 species